UACGUAGGGGGCAAGCGUUGUCCGGAUUUAUUGGGCGUAAAGAGCGUGUAGGCGGCUAGGUAGGUCCGUUGUGAAAACUCGAGGCUCAACCUCGAGACGCCGGUGGAAACCAUCUAGCUAGAGUCCGGAAGAGGAGAGUGGAAUUCCUGGUGUAGCGGUGAAAUGCGCAGAUAUCAGGAGGAACACCAAUUGCGAAGGCAGCUCGCUGGGACGUUACUGACGCUGAGACGCGAAAGCGUGGGGAGCAAACAGG
rnacentral:rRNA from 1 species